CCAAGUUCAGGGUGCUACAAAACUGGCUCUUAGUGAGGGCCCUCAUCCUGGACAGCAGAUGCUGCCUUCUCACUGUAUGCUCUUAUGGCAGUGAGAGGAAGCUGUAGUGUCUCUUCCCCUUCUAUGAGGACACUAAACCCUUCAAGGGACAUGCAUGCUGAAUCCCCUGAAACUGAUUACUCCCCACAUGCCCCACUUCCUAAGACCAUCACAACGGGAGCUACAGUUUUAACAUGAGUUUGAGCAGGAGAGACCGCAACAUACCUCACAUGACAUGAAAGGUGGAAAAAUGUUACUUGGCACUUAGCACCCUGCAGUGACCAGAUCAUCCCCAAAAGACUGAAUUUUGCUCUACUCCUGUCUGAAGAUACGCCGUGACCUUUGUACACAUAAUGAUCCCUUAACCUCUUUGCUGCUUCUUCUCACACAGAAUAAGUCAUGCUUGGUAUUCCUGCUGAUGGCAGCUUUUCCUCUAAAUACUAGCUCUCAAUGCCCAGUUUGCAAGUAAAAUGUUUAUUUUUCUUUUUUUCCGAAGUGCUUCUAACUCUGUGCUCUCAUCUGACGAUGCAGUGUUUUGGCACAGCCUUACCUGGGCAAGUGGGAUAGAAUAUCGGCUCCUUCAUGGCUGGUCAAUUUCCAUAUGGAAGUUUGUAAGAGUAUGUUGUUCCUGAAGAGGUGAAAUUGCAUUCCUGCGAGCAAUGGCAGGAGCACAUUCCCCCUCCCCCUCCUCUCUCUCCCUCUCUAUCUCUAUCUCUAUCUCUCUCUCUCUAUCUCUAUCUCUAUCUCUUACUGUCUCUGUCUCCAGGGUAAGUAAAGAAGCCCAGCAGACCCUUUACCCCAAACAUUUGACUUCCAUGAGUUCAACAUGAAGGGAGAAGUCGGGGACUAGAAAGAGAAUCGUUAUCUCUAACACAGUGCUGCGUUCACCUCUGGGCUCACUUCUUUGUAAUUGUCCCCUCCAUGGUCUCCAAGCUCCAUGGGGUAGCCACCGACUCCACUUCACCCUCACUAAUACCCAGGACCCACAUCAGUGCCCGGCACUUGAUAAUUAUGCUCUGACGCAAACACUGAGGUUUUAUUGAGAUUAGUAGUACCGGUGACUCACAUCAGUAAGUUCAAAAUAGAAAAGGUCAUCUUUAUUUUCUACCUCUGAAACUAUUAGAGCAUACCCUUUCUGAGGAGAGAAUUGGCAACUUUCAAGAAGAGUUUUUGAAUGUUCCAUGAUUAAACCAACGCUCCACAUUAAAAGUUGUCCCAACAAAACAGACCAGAACAUGGACCCAAAUGCAUUAAGAUGCGUCCAAGAUGGUUUAACAGUUUUUACGGUGAGUUAAAGUUCAAGGCAAUGGUGGGGUAUUCAUAUGAUCAGCUCCUACCUUCCCAUUAAAAUUGUUCCACUUAAGAGGUUUAAUGAAGUAAGUGCUGAUAACGUAAUGCUGAACGAGGAAACAAAGUGGCACAUAGGGUGUCGGCAAUGAGGUCAUCCCUCCAAAAGGAAACCCACCCUCCACGCUUAGCAU
rnacentral:lncRNA from 1 species